UAAAUUGACUCGUACCCAUGUAUGUGGUACCAGUGCCUUCUGGAAAAUACAUAUACAAAAGCAACUACUUUGUAUGAACAGGAUUUAACGCCAGUGAUCAAAGAAUGGAACUGUCAACAAAUACAGCGUUUUUCAUCUUGAUUGGGAUGAUGCUUAUAACCAGAUGUUAUGGUUGUUCUUGCAACGUUGCAUUUUCAUCGUACAUGACCGAAGCCAGUGCAAAUUCGCAAAGUGCAUCUAUGACAGACGGAGCCAUAAUCAAAUUCAAUAGAAUCGAGGCAAAUUACGGACUGGGAUAUAGUACAAAUACAGGAAAGUUUACAGCACCUUCCUCAGGUGUUUACGGGCUUACAUGGACCUUUUGCGUCGAUUCGCGUACUACUGACGGCGGUGCUUUGAAAUACGGAGAAUACGGUACAGAACUAAUGAGGGGCAAUUCCGUAAUUGGCGUAUUGCAUACAGACACGGAAACGAAAAACGAUGACGCAUGCUCAACAGGUUUUGUCAUCAAGUACGUAUCUGAAGGUACGGAAGUUUACGUCAGGAAUAAUUAUGCUCACCAAGGAAAAAUCUUGAGCAAGGAGAGUCAGACCAGAACAACAUUCUCCGGAUGGAAAUUAUAUCAAUAAUAUUUGAAUUUGAUAGUUUUAUUCACCUCCUCGACUUUUUGUUUAAAUUAAGUGAUUUUAGACAGACGUGUUUUCUUCAAUAUUCCAUGUCUUGCAUUUUUAAAGAACAUUUUAGUUCUUUGCAUAUUUUAAAUUUAAUGUCUUUUUUCAUAUGGUAUCUGCUACAGUCCGGAUAAGAAUCAUUAAUAAAGUUUUGUACUUCGAAA